CUAACUCAAAUUUGUGUGGAGCUGAAACGUUUUCCUACGUUUCCCGCUAGGGGCGCUGUUCCAACUAUAUACAAAUUUCAGUUA
rfam:Bombyx mori DNA, contig: Bm_scaf16_contig12408, strain: p50T/Dazao, build 2, whole genome shotgun sequence.